GUGGGGAAUUUUGGACAAUGGGCGAAAGCCUGAUCCAGCCAUGCCGCGUGUGUGAAGAAGGUCUUCGGAUUGUAAAGCACUUUAAGUUGGGAGGAAGGGUAGUAACCUAAUACGUUGCUACUUUGACGUUACCGACAGAAUAAGCACCGGCUAACUUCGUGCCAGCAGCCGCGGUAAUACGAAGGGUGCAAGCGUUAAUCGGAAUUACUGGGCGUAAAGCGCGCGUAGGUGGUUCAGUAAGUUGGAAGUGAAAUCCCCGGGCUCAACCUGGGAACUGCUUUCAAAACUGCUGAGCUAGAGUACGGUAGAGGGUGGUGGAAUUUCCUGUGUAGCGGUGAAAUGCGUAGAUAUAGGAAGGAACACCAGUGGCGAAGGCGACCACCUGGACUGAUACUGACACUGAGGUGCGAAAGCGUGGGGAGCAAACAGGAUUAGAUACCCGGGUAGUCC
rnacentral:rRNA from 1 species